rnacentral:lncRNA from 1 species
AUUGGUCCAGUUGUCUUUGGCCAAGUCGUGCUCUUGCUCUGAUUUACCCUUUCCCCUCCAGUCCUCAUGAUUGCACAAGGAACUCCGGCAAAGGGAGAAAACAACUGUUAAUGAGGAGAGAAAAGGUCAAACAGAUCAAGUAAAAGUCAUCCUGCUUCCAGCACAGAGAACAAUCGAAGCUGAUCCUGCCCAAACCAGGUGUUGGACUGAGGAUGAGACCAGGCUGAAAGAAUUUUCACCACCCAGGUGGGAAGCUGGAAGUUCAGAGUAUGCAUGAAGAAUUACCUGGGAGAAAGGAAUAUCAAGAUUUUGACAGAGAACCAAAACAUGUAAGGUUUAGUAGGAGCCCUGAUGGAUUUUCCAACAGGU